GCCCUUUGCCAAACGUUCUUCCAAGGUCGAGAACUUGCUACAUCCUUUCGGUUUUCUUCUAGCAUAAGGCUCAUCCUUUGGGAAGGUCUCAAAUUGCCUCCCUUUCUCGACCAACUUUAAUCUAAAUUGCGUCAAGCUGUCAAUAUCUCCCUUCCCAAUUAACUCUGCCACGAUAUCAUUUCUGGGUUGCGUUGAAAUUUUCUUAAUCAGAGCUUCAAUUUUAUCCGACAUUUCAGAACUGUUUUGUAGUUCAAAAUUGCAGGCCUACUUAAGCGUUCCUGGAGACCAGUCCACAUAAGAAUCGAACAGUACUGUAAGAACUCAAAUUCACGUUGAUUUUGAAGUUAUCCUCUUGAAAAGUGCUAAAAAUUUUCUUAAAACAGUUCAGAUUUCUUGAGCUUAAAAAAUAACAUCCACCAUCUUGAUUAGUUACGAUAAUCGGCUUACAAAUAAUCGGCCUCAGUAAUCGGCAAUUUUCCUUAUCGGCUCAUCCCUAUUUUAUUGCAGGGGACACUAUUUGCCUUAUAUUUUUUCCUAAUCUAUCCAACAUUGGAAGGUGGUAUAAAACUGAUUAAAUUGUAAUUAUGCAUGGUGUUUCAUUAGUUUUUGCCAGGAUUGUGCUGGGUGAGCUUCCCAGUUAGGCAGGGUAGAAAUGUCUCUUCCUGUGAUUGCAUAAACAAUUAGGCCCUUAGUUCAAGAUUAUUCCUUACGAUCCUAUAGCAUGGACAAGUUUAAUCUAACAAAAGUACCUGUAAUGUUUAUAUAUUGCUUCUCUUUAGAGAGAAUGCAGAAAGAAUAUAGGGAAGGAAUUGCUAAAGAUGACAUCCAACCAGGAGGUACAGUAUGCUGACCAGGGCAUGACAUUUAAUGUUUUUAGCAAACAUCAAGAGCGAUAUCAGGCUUUGUAUUGACUUAAGUUUAUAGAUUCACCCUACUUCCUUGUCAAUAAAGAUUAAAGGCCAAGUUAAAACUUUAAAUUUGGGGUUUCAUUGUUGACCACAGCAUAAUCUGUAAGAGAAAACUUUAAGAUAAAUUCUUCUUAAUUUCUUUCUCCUGUAUGAAGGUCGUAAGGAAACAUUGUUGAGAAGUGUUAUUACAUUUUCUCUUUGGGUUGUGGCUGUUGUGAAAUCCAGCAAAUUAGCUUCAUAUAAAAUGUAGUGAAUCAUUCUGUUUUUUGUUUUAAAAGACAGUAUGAGAUUGUAGGAGUCCUAGGGCCUUCGGGUGACUGCCCAUGACUCCGUGAAUUUCCAUAUUUUUGAGAUUAAUCUGAUCAACAAUUAUUUUUGUGACAAUGUGGCAAAAUAGUGUGUAAAGCAAUUUUGCCCGUUUUGCCUGUCAAAAUGAAAUAAUGUCUUUUAUGUACAUAACCUUUCUAUCUUGAUCUCUCAAGUAGUGUCCAUUAUUCUUGCAUAUCUUUAAGUACCAGGUGACCUUUAGUUUCAAUAUUAGUAACCUAAAAAAGUCUAAUGACAUUGCAGGGAUGAAAGUCUGGUCUGAUCCAUUCAAGAAGGAAUAAUACUAAAGAUUUUUGCAUGUUUUGAAAAUGGACUUGAUGCUAGUACAAGAAAGGCUACUGAUGUGCAACAUUAAAUUGUUCUGUGCAACACUCUAUGGAUAUCAAGGGAUGAUAGGACCAAGCGUUUUGCAUGCAUGAAUGCUGUAAAUCCUCUAUCAAGAUUUGCUGCUUAAAUAACCCCCUCUAAUAAGCCACCCUUUUUAAAGUAGGAAUCAGCCAAUCAGGGAUGCAUAUCAUCCUGGCACUUUUGUUUAUUACCGUUUUUUUUCAAAAGGAGACUGAAUUGCGUUGCUGGCCAAUAGCAGGGGGCAUCCUAGACUUGCUCCAAGUCUCUCUUUCAUUGUCAUAUAGUAUCGAUCCACUACAGUGUAAAUUACAAGAGAAAUAUUGAAUUACAAAACUCAAUAGACCUUUCCGGUAAUUACGGCACAACUACACUGUUUUCAACUUAGGACCACUUUAAAUGGAAUAGAUUUCAAGUUCGUUUCUCACGGGCUAUGGUCAGAGAAGCAGAACAUCCUUCGUCGACACAUGCAUAAAAAAGAAUUUUGGAUUUUGACUAUUAAAUAUGGAAAUAAGCUUGGGACCAUGGCCCCUCUAGCCUCGUUUUCGUGUUUAAGCUUAUUUCCACAUUUAUUGGUCAAAAUCCAAAAUUAUUUUUUUAUGCAUGUGUUGAAGAAGGAGUUCUGCUCCUCUGUCGGCUCUGACCAUAGCCCGUGAGAAACUAAUUAAUUAGAACUACCGUGUUACAUUGAAGGCGAUUUAGAUUUGUAAUUAAAUCUUACGGCUUAUAAUCAAAUGCAGCACGAAAUAGUGGGAAACUGUUGUUUAUAUUGCUUUGUUUCAUUAUUUCAUAAAAAAAUGUUUCAAAAUCGGUCAUAAAAAGGUUUGAUCGGACACAUAGGCGUACCGGGCGGGGGGGGGGGCGGUAGCCCCCCAGUUUUUUGGGCAGUUGGGCAAUAUUUGAUCAACAGUCGGGCAAUUUUGGUUUGUACUAAAAAUAAAUGGGACAAAUUCUGUGAAUUUAGUCGAAAAUUCAGUCAAUUUUGUGUUGUUUGGAAAAUUUGUGUGAUGUUUCGAAAAAUUUUGGUAUGUCCGGAAAAAUUUUUUUACCCCUAAAAUGGUACACUGACCGAAAUUUUUUUGGCGACGGGGGGGGGGGUGUGAGGUCGCCGAAAUAAUUUUUCCGGAAAAAAUUUUUUAGGUACUAGUCGGGCAUAAUCCCGAAAAGUCGGGCAAAUUUCUUUCCGCCCCCCUAAUUUUUCCUUCCGGUACGCCCAUGAUCGGACGAAAGGUCAAAUGUGACCCAACAAUGCGGUGACCGACACUAAUUUGCAGUUCUGGUGGGCGUGCGUAUGUAUAGAAUGGGGGCUUGGAAGUUGUGGUUUUGCAGUUCUACGAACAAGUAGAGACAUAAUUGUGCUUCUCACCUCACGCAUAGAGGAAGACCUUUAGCGCUUGUCAGUUUUGACUUUCAGGACACAACGUUCAAUACAAGCACGAAUACAAGCAGUGAAUAUGACAUUUUAUUUGUAAGAUUAGUCACAUAAAUAAGAGAAAGUAUUUAACGGUAUAGUUAGUAAAUAUAUAUUAUACACAAUUAUAGUGAAAUUAGCCUUUCUCACGAAGGCUAAAAUACGCCAUUUUUGGGAAUUGGGGUAUUGUCUGCCCUUGUGAAUGAUUCUAGACAAUUCAAACUACGUGAAAAGCGACUUUUAAAAGUUGUAACUGUAAAUUGUUCGUGUUGCGGAGACUCUCAAACGUGGGAGAGGCAGUACACCCAAAAUGGCGGAAAAAUCGGCCGGGAGAAAGGCUAAUUAUAGAAAUGAGCAAAAUUUUCAACCGAUUGAUUUAUAUGUCCACGUCUUGUUUCAGAGAUAAUUCUUGAUGUUAAUAAUAUAAUUAUUGACUGAAUUUCAUCGUCUUUAAUACAGAUGUGUAAAAUUACUUUGCAGUAAAAUAAACUAGUUUUGUAUCAUUCUUGUGUGCUGUUAAUACCACGUAUUAAUUAGUACUGGUUCACACUAUUUGCAAGAGUUGAUAGAAAGAAGAGUUUACUAGCUUCUUCUGAUGAACAGUGGCGGACACUUGUAUAUGAUCACCUGUUGCUGGACAUCGUAAUUCUUUAAGGGGGGUUAUCCCACUAAUGGACGCUAAUGCUGGUACUGCACCUGCCUCGUCGCUUCAGUUGGGAAUAGAGAUCAGUGGAAAAACAAUGGGAGCGCGGUGCUUAAUGGGAAUGCGAUAGAAUCUCAAAUCAGCCCUGCUCAAAUUAACGCGACCGCGCGUACGAAUGAGGGACUGUGGAAGAGUCAGGUACUGCACCACAAGGUAUAGGAACUACUUAAUUAAUUCGAAGGCCUAAUAUUAAAAGGAUGACAAUCCUUUUCUCUGCGAUAGCAGCAGAGAAUGAUCUGGAAUGACAAAUACGUAUACGGGCGUCUAUAGAUCCAAUCCACCAUUACUGCAAUGAGUAAUACUGGACACUGCCACGUAAAACAGGUAGGCAAUUUGUCUGAGCAUGCGCGCAGAAAAUCAAUAUGGCGACAUAUAUCAGGAGUGUUUCGAGGAUUUAUCUGGUUUUAAAGCUGAUAAAACAACAUUUUAAUGAACGAAAACUUUGUAAUAUUUCGUGGAAAACAUUAAGCUGUGCAUUCCAAAGGUUUUAAAUAAAAAAUAAGUACUUUUGCUUUAUUUUAUUGCUUUUUAUGCCUUGAAAACAGGCAAGCUCAUAUUUUUUGAAAAAAUUUUAUCUAAUAUUUUACCCAUUAUUUGUUUAAUCUGAACAAAAAUAGAUAGAACACUUGGCUAUAUAAGCUAUAAAGGUAUUGUUAGCUGAUCUGAAAGAUUUCAGUAUUCCAGGUACACAUUUUAACAAAGAAUAAAAUUAAAAUAUAUGCAUAUCAAAAACAAUGGUUUUUAUUAGAACAACACAGAAUAAGUUGUUAUUUUCUAUUUUUACAUAAAACAAGUUUGAAAACAGGAUCUAGUCCUCCAGCUUGAUGUCAUAUUCCAUUUACUUGGAUAUUUGAAUAAAGGAAUGUGAAAUAAUAAUUGAAACUUGUCCAAAAUUUGAUACCAACACUGGAAUGAACAGAUACUAUCACCUAAAAAUAAAAGAACAGAACUUAAAUUUAUCAUAUAAUGCUAUGAAAAAAUCUUAGAUACUACAAGCAUAUAGUGAACACAACUCUUUAACAAAUUCACUAAAAUAAGUUAAGUUAUGCUACGAUAAGAGGAUGGCAAUAUAUGACAACACCAAAUGUUACCAUCUUCAGUGUCCAAAAAAAGUGCCGCGCACAUUUUUCGUGGUCGCAUAACUGGCAUUGCCACAAACCCAGGUGAAAAAGCAAUUAGAAAAACCUGGUUUUGGGUGAUGAGCAUAGUCAAAUUCUUGACUUAUUCAAUUUUCUAAGUUUUUCCAGGUAAACAGGUUCAACAUUGAAAUAAGCCCCAUUCGGGACCUCAUAGGGUCCAAAAUAUUGUGUAUGGACCAGAUUUUUUUCAAUUUUCUGUGAUUUACAUAACACUAGUUAUAAUUUAAGGGUCAACCAGUAUUGUUCAAGACAUAUUUUCCUUCCAGAACACCAUUUCAAAAUACUAACCCAAGCAUGUCAAAAAUAGUGUACAUUUACAAGGGCAAUUUCAACCCUCUGGCACAUUUUUCCUAUGAAUGAUUUUAAUUCUAAUAUAAAGACUAUAGAUAAAACUUUGAUUUAAAGCUGGUUUCAAGUGAUGAGCAUACCCUAAAUUUUAAGCUAUACCUCAAAGAAGAUAGGUAAUUUCAACAUAAACAUUGAAAUAUAGGUAUACUGACAGCUCUGUCACACGUGUAGUUUGACAUUAGCAAACCUUCUGAAACAUUUUAAUGAAAGUAUAAUUCACAAAGUUCACA
rnacentral:lncRNA from 1 species